UAUCUAACUUGUAGUAUUUACUUUGUUUAUUCAGUUAAUAGUUGGUUAUGCAGUAACAUUCAAGUAUAGUCGACGCUCCUAGUGGACACAAAAGAAAAUGGAAACGAGACAUUUGAAAUAAUGCCCUCAUUCACACAACCUCAAUCAAAAAAUACAAAAACCAGAAACAUUUUUAGUAUGAUAAUACAUAUUUAUGGCAUACAAAAUGGCUGAUUUAAAACCACAACGUUUUAAAUGGGAACUACCCACCCCGUCAUAAAUGUCUCAAAAAAUUCCACAAGAGCGUGUAGUGAAGACUUACAUGUUGUUAAAUGUUUUACCUCAAUAUUAAUACAAAUCUUGAGAACCCGGUAGAAUGGCGUUAUACAAUUGAUGGCGUCAUAACACUGAUUACGUUACGUGGCAAGAAGAUUAAAAAAACUUAUUUCAAGG
rnacentral:lncRNA from 1 species